AUUGAACGCUGGCGGCAUGCCUUACACAUGCAAGUCGAACGGCAGCACGGGAGCAAUCCUGGUGGCGAGUGGCGAACGGGUGAGUAAUAUAUCGGAACGUGCCCGGUCGUGGGGGAUAACGUAGCGAAAGCUACGCUAAUACCGCAUACGAUCUACGGAUGAAAGCGGGGGAUCGCAAGACCUCGCGCGAUUGGAGCGGCCGAUAUCAGAUUAGGUAGUUGGUGAGGUAAAGGCUCACCAAGCCGACGAUCUGUAGCUGGUCUGAGAGGACGACCAGCCACACUGGGACUGAGACACGGCCCAGACUCCUACGGGAGGCAGCAGUGGGGAAUUUUGGACAAUGGGCGCAAGCCUGAUCCAGCAAUGCCGCGUGCAGGAUGAAGGCCUUCGGGUUGUAAACUGCUUUUGUACGGAACGAAACGGUGAGCUCUAAUACAGUUUGCUAAUGACGGUACCGUAAGAAUAUGCACCGGCUAACUACGUG
rnacentral:rRNA from 1 species